UACAGAGGGGGCAAGCGUUGUUCGGAAUUACUGGGCGUAAAGGGCGCGUAGGCGGCCGCCUAAGUCAGACGUGAAAUCCCUCGGCUCAACCGGGGAACUGCGUCUGAUACUGGGUGGCUUGAAUCCGGGAGAGGGAUGCGGAAUUCCAGGUGUAGCGGUGAAAUGCGUAGAUAUCUGGAGGAACACCGGUGGCGAAGGCGGCAUCCUGGACCAACACUGACGCUGAGUGAGCGAAAGCCAGGGGAGCAAAGCGGG
rnacentral:rRNA from 1 species